CAUGAAACCUUCUUGAGCUGGAGGUUUUCUCUGGAAAGUACUAUAGUAAUAUGAAAAUCACAGUGCUUGUUGUUGCCCAUCACUUGACCACACCGAUGGGACACAGGGCUCUUCUGACUCCUAAGGUUUGAGAGAGACCACAAAUUGUGGUCAAUUAGGAGGUUUCAUUAUUAGUAGCUCUGCCAACCCAAAUAUGCGUCAGGGGAUAGCAAACGUCAUCACCACUCGCUGUUGCCAACAGCUUCCUCACCUCCUGGCAAGGGCAUGCACCAUCUCUUCUUCCCUUCGGGCUGUUGCCUGGGGAGGAUUAGGAAACCACAAGGCUAAAGACCUUCAUGUUCUAAGAGCUGAGUCCAUGCUGCUGAAAGAAGGGCCCUGUGGAUAUUCACUCUGUAGCCCUCAGGACAUCAUACCUAGCUGUUUAUGCAUCUGAACUUGGGUCUCUGCUGCCAAACUGGAAUUGGAGCAGCGGGAAGGUCUGGAAUGAGGUUCUGCUUGGUCCCAGAGAAGACCCACUCACUGCUUCUCCAUCAUGUCCACCUGCAGUUCGAAACCUUUGCACUGAUCAUCUUCCAUGACCGUGGAUGUAUAAGUUGUGCCACUGCAGGUCAGAUAACUGCAGCAGCCAAGUUCUUGGAGGUGACUAGCCUUCCCAGGUUACAAUAUUAGUUCCUUCCCUUGCCCUCCCCCUGUUACAGGCUAAUAGGACAGUGGCAUUUGUUGCAUCUGAUUAUUUCUAGAAAGAUGUUAAUGGUCUCUUUACCUUCUGCUUUGACAAAGCAGCUGUGAAGGAGCCAGGAUGCCAGUGUGCAGGGCUGCUGUAGGAUAAAAACCCACAGUGGCAGGAAAUUACCCUAAUAGGGUGAAAAUUAAGAAACAACCAAUGGCACAGCCUGUUUCCAGGAUACGGGUAGUAGUUUCACGCCUUGGAAUUAUUCCCUGAGAAUCAAUUUGGUGGUUCUUUAAAAAAAAUUAGAUUUGAACCUGAAG
rnacentral:lncRNA from 1 species